rnacentral:tRNA from 1 species
GGUUAUGGCUCAGCGGUAGAGCCCUCGCCUCGCAUGUGCAAGGCCCUGGGUUCGAUCCUCAGCACCA